AAGAUUCAAAUGACACUUUAAAGCCCUUGUCACAAAAUUGACUUAUACUUAAUAAAUUAUGUUUUAAUCCAUUAACUAACAAUACAUUGUCAAUAAAUGAGGAGGGUGAUAUGGAGAUUUUACCAACGCCAAUGAUUUGACCUUUAGCAUUGUCUCCAAAUGUGACUACUCCUCCUUCUUUUGAUUUCAAGGUGACGAAAAGGUUCUUGUCACCGGUCAUAUGCCUUGAGCAACCGCUAUCAAGAUACCACAUUCUCUUUUUGCUCCCGGCUGCAAGGCAUACCUGCAAAAUAAUCAUGUGACGCUCUUAGGUAUCCAAGUUUUCUUGGGUCCUUCUUGGUUAGUGUAGUUGGUUCCCUUAGGCACCCACAUUUUGGUUGUGUUUUUACCCUUUACAAAUGUGUUCUUAUUAGUUUGAAUCUUUCUUUGAAUGCAAGAAUAAGCUUUAUGUCCACUUUUUCUCACAAUAAAAACAUGUAGGUUUUUCAGUUUUGACAUCUUUUGCUUUUACAAAAAAGUUCUUUAGAUAUUUUUGUUGUUUGCUAGUUUUGUAUCCUAAUCCGGCUUUAUUAAAAACAGCUCUUUAAUUGGAUAGAAUAAGAUUUAAUUUUUCCGAGCUAUGUGUAAAUUUCUGCACAAUUGGUUUAUACUUGUGUAGCUCAUCUUUAAGGUCCAAAUUUUCUUUAGCUAAUUCUUCUUUAUCAUUUUUAAGGGAUUCGACAUUUUGUGCAAGUGAAGUAUUACUAUUGAGUAGGAAUUUGACUCUUAGAUUUAAUUCCUUAAUGAGUGUUUUUGCCGUUUCAUUUUCAAUGCUAAGUUUUGAAUUUUUAUCUUUUAGGUCAACGAUGCUAUCAU
rnacentral:lncRNA from 1 species